rnacentral:rRNA from 1 species
AGAGUUUGAUCCUGGCUCAGGACGAACGCUGGCGGCGUGCCUAACACAUGCAAGUCGAGCGGAGAUGUACUGAAGAUUUAUCGGAUGUACAUCUUAGCGGCGGACGGGUGAGUAACGCGUGGGCAACCUGCCUUCCACUGGGGGAUAACACAGGGAAACCUGUGCUAAUACCGCAUGACAUCACAUAGGGCAUCCUGUGUGAUCAAAGGANGUGAUCCGGUGGAAGAUGGGCCCGCGUCCGAUUAGCUAGUUGGUGAGGUAACGGCUCACCAAGGCGACGAUCGGUAGCCGGACUGAGAGGUUGGCCGGCCACAUUGGGACUGAGACACGGCCCAGACUCCUACGGGAGGCAGC